rnacentral:rRNA from 1 species
GGUAGUCCACGCCGUAAACGAUGUCGACUUGGAGGUUGUGCCCUUGAGGCGUGGCUUCCGGAGCUAACGCGUUAAGUCGACCGCCUGGGGAGUACGGCCGCAAGGUUAAAACUCAAAUGAAUUGACGGGGGCCCGCACAAGCGGUGGAGCAUGUGGUUUAAUUCGAUGCAACGCGAAGAACCUUACCUACUCUUGACAUCCAGAGAACUUAGCAGAGACGCUUUGGUGCCUUCGGGAACUCUGAGACAGGUGCUGCAUGGCUGUCGUCAGCUCGUGUUGUGAAAUGUUGGGUUAAGUCCCGCAACGAGCGCAACCCUUAUCCUUUGUUGCCAGCGGUUCGGCCGGGAACUCAAAGGAGACUGCCAGUGAUAAACUGGAGGAAGGUGGGGAUGACGUCAAGUCAUCAUGGCCCUUACGAGUAGGGCUACACACGUGCUACAAUGGCGCAUACAAAGAGAAGCGACCUCGCGAGAGCAAGCGGACCUCAUAAAGUGCGUCGUAGUCCGGAUUGGAGUCUGCAACUCGACUCCAUGAAGUCGGAAUCGCUAGUAAUCGUAGAUCAGAAUGCUACGGUGAAUACGUUCCCGGGCCUUGUACACACCGCCCGUCACACCAUGGGAGUGGGUUGCAAAAGAAGUAGGUAGCUUAACCUUCGGGAGGGCGCUUACCACUUUGUGAUUCAUGACUGGGGUGAAGUCGUAACAAGGUAACCGUAGGGGAACCUGC